rnacentral:lncRNA from 1 species
AAAACCCGCUAAAACCCGUGGAGAAACACCCCCCCCCCCCCCCCACACACAACACACACACACCCCGCCGUCACCCCGCCGUGCCCCCUCCCCUCCCCGCGCUGUCCCGCUCGGUGCGGGGCUCUGCUCUGCGCACUGGCGGUGCCGCUGACGGGCGGCCGCGGCGCGGUGCCCUUAUUGGUUUGAAAUUCCAUUAAAUAUAUUGCAAGAGCGCCUAGGUUAAGCUUGAUUUAAAUUUGCAUACAUUUUCAUAUAUUUAGCAGAAAUAAAAGAAGGCUUGCAGCUACCAGAAAGUCAUUAAGGCAUUAGUUUCCCUGAGAAGACAGAUCUGAAGAAAAUGCAAGAAAAUGAGAAAAUUGAUAGAAAGCAGGUGGAGCUGAAUACAAUGCCUGCAUUUGUGGCUAACUCCAAGCAAUACAUUAUGAAGAUGAUGUUAUUCAGACACACACCCAAACAAUUUGAUUCAGACAAAUUGGAUACGAGACUUUGACCAGCAUGAGAAGAACAGUGUUUACGGUGAAAUGAUGGGGUCGACACUUCCUAGCAGCGUGGCCAACAGAUGUAGCGUGGAGAUGACAACUGUACAUUUUAGUGGUCUUUUGUUACCUCAGCACUGACUGAUGGCUGAGAGGCUGGAAGCCAGAAUGUCAAAGGCCAUCAGAUGUCCUAGCAGCCUCUAGAUCCCGUUUCUGUUAGGGGCUGAAAUGACAAAAAUAUGCCUUUUUGUGUAGUUGCAUGUAAAAGUGCCGUUAGCUUUUUGCAAUAAAUAGUCCCUAAGGAGAAGCCCCCUGUGUGCC